AAGCUUUUCUCAGAGCCUUGGUUGCACCAGAACACAAGACUCCUGCAGGGGAGGGGGGAGGGGUUAUGCCCACCUUAACUCUCUCCCUGGCUGUUCUUCUCAGGCUGGUCACACUGGGUGGGGACACCACCAAACAGAUUUGUGUAUCCCACCAACAGGCGACUGAGGGCACUGGUGGGCAAGCAGGGGGGGCUCUGCCCUGAGUGGUGAGAUGGCACUCCCCCCAAGGUGCUCACAAUCACCAGACGUCUGUCCCUGCAGGAGGUGGCUGGGAUGGAGCCUGUGGAAGUUGGACCUCUCAGAGGCCAGCACUGACCCGUGUACAGAGGAUUUUGGAACCAUGAGGCCAGAGGGGACUCCUGCCUCCAACACUUUGACUAGCUGGGUGCCCAGAAAAUCCAGUUGCUGAGUCUACAAAAUUGAAGACCAGAUCCCAGACUGACCCUGGGGCCAGCUGCCUCCCUCUCCCUGAGGACCCUGCACUUUUUCUCACCAGAGUGACAAUGCUGUGUCCCCAGAUCCGAUAGGCUCUUUGCACGAAUAAACAUAGUUGCUCUUCACCAUG